rnacentral:siRNA from 1 species
CCAAAGUUGGUGCUUUGUUUCAC